CAGUCGCCGCGGUAAUACGAAGGGGGCUAGCGUUGUUCGGAAUUACUGGGCGUAAAGCGCACGCAGGCGGCUCGAUAAAUUAGAAGUGAAAGCCUUGGGCUUAACCUGAGAAUUGCUUUUAAGACUGUCGAGCUAGAAUCCAGAAGAGGGUAGUGGAAUUCCGAGUGUAGAGGUGAAAUUCGUAGAUGUUCGGAAGAACACCAGUGGCGAAGGCGACUACCUGGUCUGGCAUUGACGCUCAUGUGCGAAAGCGUGGGGAGCAAACAGGAUUAGAUACCCCAGUAGUCCCUGUCUCUUAUAA
rnacentral:rRNA from 1 species